rnacentral:sRNA from 1 species
CGACGCUGCGGCACCCGCUCCAGACAUGCUGCUGCUGAAGAAACACACGGAGGACAUCAGCAGCGUCUACGAGAUCCGCGAGAGGCUCGGCUCGGGGCCCUCCCCUCUCCACUCUCUUUCCCUCCUGCCUCUCCUCUCUUCCCACUUCCUUCCCACCUCCCACCGCCCCGUCUGCGGCAGGGGUGCCUUCUCCGAGGUGGUGCUGGCCCAGGAGCGGGGCUCCGCACACCUCGUGGCCCUCAAGUGCAUCCCCAAGAAGGCCCUCCGGGGCAAGGAGGCCCUGGUGGAGAACGAGAUCGCAGUGCUCCGUAGGAUCAGUCACCCCAACAUCGUCGCUCUGGAGGAUGUCCACGAGAGCCCUUCCCACCUCUACCUGGCCAUGGAACUGUGAGGAGGGCCUGGGCAGGCUGUGGGAGCCGGGGAGGGACUGAGCAGUGAGUGGGGCUGAAGGCCAGGCUGAGUGCCUGGGUCAGCCAAACCCCUGGCACCCCCAGGGUGACGGGUGGCGAGCUGUUUGACCGCAUCAUGGAGCGCGGCUCCUACACAGAGAAGGAUGCCAGCCAUCUGGUGGGUCAGGUCCUCGGCGCCGUUUCCUACCUGCACAGCCUGGGGAUCGUGCACCGGGACCUCAAGGUGCCUGGCUGGGGCCUCUGCACCCCACCCUCCCACCUGCCCACCUGGCCCUGCUUUUGUUUUCCCGGGAGCACGGCUGGGGCCUUUCUUGAUCUCCCGCUUCACCAAGGCUCUGGGGAACCUGAGAGUGCCUAGUCCCCAUCCUGUCCCAGCACCGGCACCGCGUCAGGACUGACCUGGCCCUUUUCCUGGUGUCCGUGUGUCACAGCCCGAAAACCUCCUGUAUGCCACGCCCUUUGAGGACUCGAAGAUCAUGGUCUCUGACUUUGGACUCUCCAAAAUCCAGGCUGGCAACAUGCUAGGCACCGCCUGUGGGACCCCUGGAUAUGUGGGUGAGGGACGACACCCUGAGGCUUGCUGGGAGUGGGGUGGCCUGGGGGACCCUAGACAGCCGGGAAGGCUGUUGUGCCCGUUGUCUUUGUGUGGGCCAUUCCUGGGCUUGAGUAGGCCGAGCCAGUGACACUGAGCGGCAUGGCUGCGUGUGUGCCUGUGCGUGCGUCUGUCUGUCUCUGGCCCCCAGCCCCAGAGCUCUUGGAGCAGAAACCCUACGGGAAGGCCGUAGAUGUGUGGGCCCUGGGCGUCAUCUCCUACAUCCUGUGAGUGACCGCUGGGAAGGCUUGUCUCCUGCCUGCCUGCCCCUGCUGGGUUGGGGAGGGUGGGACAGCUGGAUGAUUCAUCUGUGGGUGCCAGGCUGUGUGGGUACCCCCCCUUCUACGAUGAGAGCGACCCUGAGCUCUUCAGCCAGAUCCUGAGGGCCAGCUAUGAGUUUGACUCUCCUUUCUGGGAUGACAUCUCAGAAUCAGCCAAAGACUUCAUCCGGCACCUUCUGGAGCGAGACCCCCAGAAGAGGUUCACCUGCCAACAGGCCUUGCAGCAUCUUUGGAUCUCUGGGGACACAGCCUUCGACAGGGACAUCUUAGGCUCUGUCAGUGAGCAGAUCCAGAAGAACUUUGCUCGGACACACUGGAAGCGAGCCUUCAAUGCCACCUCGUUCCUGCGCCACAUCCGGAAGCUGGGGCAGAGCCCAGAGGGCGAGGGGGCCUCUGAGCAGGGCAUGGCCCGCCACAGCCACUCAGGCCUCCGUGCUGGCCAGCCCCCCAAGUGGUGAUGCCCAGGCAGAUGCCGAGGCCAAGUGGACUGACCCCCAGAUUUCCUUCCCUUGGAUGCUUUUGGUCCCCUCUCCCAACCCCUCCCCCUGGGGCUGGCCUCUGCUGGAGUUUGAGAUUUGAGGGUGUGGCGCAUGGCGCUGGGGUUGGAAUGGGGCACCCCCAAGUCUGUCCCCAGGCUCUGCCCUGCCUGGGGGCAGUGGCUCCCCUCCCCUGUUGCCUCUCCCGCCCCAGCCCCCCGCCCCGCCAAAAGCCGAGGAGGUGCUGGCAGGCGGGCCUCAGGGGCUGUCUUUCCUGCACGGCUGUUGUGUGCUUCGCUGAGUGUGGGUGGUCCUGCUUGUGUCAUGGUCAUGGCCUUCCAGCCCCCUCCAGUUUUCCCCAAACCAAUAAAGAAAGAUACAGC